rnacentral:rRNA from 1 species
UUUUUCCUACGGGGGGCAGCAGUGAGGAAUAUUGGUCAAUGGCCGAGAGGCUGAACCAGCCAAGUCGCGUGAGGGAUGACGGCCCUACGGGUUGUAAACCUCUUUUGUCGGGGAGCAAAGAGAGUCACGUGUGGCUCAUUGAGAGUACCCGAAGAAAAAGCAUCGGCUAACUCCGUGCCAGCAGCCGCGGUAAUACGGAGGAUGCGAGCGUUAUCCGGAUUUAUUGGGUUUAAAGGGUGCGCAGGCGGAGGUGUAAGUCAGUGGUCAAAUUGCGGGGCUCAACCCCGUACUGCCGUUGACACUGC